rnacentral:lncRNA from 1 species
GGCCAACACCCUAGUAGAAUAUGAUGUUUUUCUCUCAUUUAAUAAGUUAAAUUCUCUUCAAAUUUUUUAUGCUUGUUUUUAAUUAAGAGAUUGAAAAGUAUGUAAAAUUUUAAGCAAGAUCAAUAGUUUAGGCAAUAGAUAUUGAGAUUCUAAACUACCUUAGGGUUGGUUUGAAUUGAUUAGGUUUCAAAUAGGAUUAGGAUUAGGAUUUUAUUAGGAUUUGAUUUAGAAUUUUUCUAGAAUUUGGUUAGGAUUUAGAGUUUAUUUAGAAUUUGUCUAAGAUUUGGUUAGGAUUUAGAAUUUAUUUAGAAUUGGUCAAGAUUUAGAGUUUGUUUAGGAUUUGGUUAAAAUUUGAUUAGAAUUUGGUUUAGGAUUUUUCUAAGAUUAGUCAAGGUUUAAAAUUUGAUUAGUUUUUUACUAAGAUUUUUUUAGGAUUUUUUUAGGAUUGAUUAAGGUUUAAGAUUUAUUUGAGAUUUGAUUAGAAUUUGAUUAUAAUUUGAUUAGGAUUUGACUAAGUUUUGUUUAGAAUUUUGUUAAUAUUUUUCUAAGAUUUUGUUAAAGUUUGAUUAGGAUUUGUUUAAGAUUUGUCUUGGAUUUGAUUAAAAUUUAAUUAGAAUUUACUUAGGUUUUUUUAUUUUUUUAUAAUUUAUUUAAAAUUUUAAUUUAACUUUGUCAAUAUUUGAUUAUGUUUGUUAAGCUUUAGUUCUAAUUUAUAUAUGAUUUUAUUAGAGUUUUUAGAACUUGUUAUUACAAAUUUCUUUCACCUUCCACAGCCAAAUGUCUGAUUUAUUUUCAAACAAGAUUUCACACAAUAUGAUAGUGUCUACCACUAUCAUGAUGUAACAUGGCUAAUAGGUGAAAGAGUGAAGAAAAAAUUAUAUUUUAGAAGAUCUUAU